AGGCCUCUUUCAUUUCGCAUAGCC
rnacentral:siRNA from 1 species